CUGCGAAUGGCUCAUUAAAUCAGUUAUCGUUUAUUUGAUAGUACCUUACUACUUGGAUAACCGUGGUAAUUCUAGAGCUAAUACAUGCUAAAAACCCCGACUUCGGGAGGGGUGUAUUUAUUAGAUAAAAAACCAACGCCCUUCGGGGCUCCUUGGUGAUUCAUAAUAACUUAACGGAUCGCAUGGCCUUGCGCCGGCGACGGUUCAUUCAAAUUUCUGCCCUAUCAACUUUCGAUUGUAGGGUAUUGGCCUACAAUGGUUUCAACGGGUAACGGGGAAUUAGGGUUCGAUUCCGGAGAGGGAGCCUGAGAAACGGCUACCACAUCCAAGGAAGGCAGCAGGCGCGCAAAUUACCCAAUCCCGACACGGGGAGGUAGUGACAAUAAAUACUGAUACAGGGCUCUUUUGGGUCUUGUAAUUGGAAUGAGUACAAUUUAAACCCCUUAACGAGGAACAAUUGGAGGGCAAGUCUGGUGCCAGCAGCCGCGGUAAUUCCAGCUCCAAUAGCGUAUAUUAAAGUUGUUGCAGUUAAAAAGCUCGUAGUUGAACCUUGGGCCUGGCUGGCCGGUCCGCCUCACCGCGUGCACUGGUCCGGCCGGGCCUUUCCUUCUGGAGAGCCGCAUGCCCUUCACUGGGUGUGUCGGGGAACCAGGACUUUUACUUUGAAAAAAUUAGAGUGUUCAAAGCAGGCCUUUGCUCGAAUACGUUAGCAUGGAAUAAUAGAAUAGGACGUGCGGUCCUAUUUUGUUGGUUUCUAGGACCGCCGUAAUGAUUAAUAGGGAUAGUCGGGGGCAUCAGUAUUCAAUUGUCAGAGGUGAAAUUCUUGGAUUUAUUGAAGACUAACUACUGCGAAAGCAUUUGCCAAGGAUGUUUUCAUUAAUCAGUGAACGAAAGUUAGGGGAUCGAAGACGAUCAGAUACCGUCGUAGUCUUAACCGUAAACUAUGCCGACUAGGGAUCGGGCGAUGUUAUUAUUUUGACUCGCUCGGCACCUUACGAGAAAUCAAAGUUUUUG
rnacentral:rRNA from 1 species